rnacentral:rRNA from 1 species
CCCGGGGGCUGCAGUGGGGAAUAUUGGACAAUGGGCGAAAGCCUGAUCCAGCCAUGCCGCGUGUGUGAAGAAGGCCUUCGGGUUGUAAAGCACUUUCAGUGGGGAAGAAAGCCUUGGGGCUAAUACCCUCGAGGAAGGACAUCACCCACAGAAGAAGCACCGGCUAACUCCGUGCCAGCAGCCGCGGUAAUACGGAGGGUGCGAGCGUUAAUCGGAAUUACUGGGCGUAAAGCGCGCGUAGGCGGUCUGAUAAGCCGGUUGUGAAAGCCCCGGGCUCAACCUGGGAACGGCAUCCGGAACUGUCAGGCUAGAGUGCAGGAGAGGAAGGUAGAAUUCCCGGUGUAGCGGUGAAAUGCGUAGAGAUCGGGAGGAAUACCAGUGGCGAAGGCGGCCUUCUGGACUGACACUGACGCUGAGGUGCGAAAGCGUGGGUAGCAAACAGGAUUAGAUACCCCGGUAGUC